rnacentral:rRNA from 1 species
GAUGAACGCUGGCGGCGUGCCUAAUACAUGCAAGUCGAGCGAACAGAUGAGGAGCUUGCUCCUCUGACGUUAGCGGCGGACGGGUGAGUAACACGUGGAUAACCUACCUAUAAGACUGGGAUAAUUUCGGGAAACCGGAGCUAAUACCGGAUAAUAUAUUGAACCGCAUGGUUCAAUAGUGAAAGACGGUUUUGCUGUCACUUAUAGAUGGAUCCGCGCCGCAUUAGCUAGUUGGUAAGGUAACGGCUUACCAAGGCAACGAUGCGUAGCCGACCUGAGAGGGUGGUCGGCCACACUGGAACUGAGACAGAGCCCAGACUCCUGCGGGAGGCAGCAGUAGGGAAUCUUCCGCAAGGGGCGAAAGCCUGACGGAGCGACGCCGCGUGAGUGCUGAAGGUGUUCGGAUCGGAAAACUCUGUUAUUAGUGGAGAACAAAUGUGUAAGUAACUAUGCACGUCUUGACGGUACCUGAUCAGAAAGCCACGGCUAACUACGUG